UGGGGAAUAUUGCACAAUGGGGGAAACCCUGAUGCAGCGACGCCGCGUGGGUGAAGAAGUUUUUCGGAAUGUAAAGCCCUAUCAGCAGGGAAGAUAAUGACGGUACCUGACUAAGAAGCCCCGGCUAACUACGUGCCAGCAGCCGCGGUAAUACGUAGGGGGCAAGCGUUAUCCGGAUUUACUGGGUGUAAAGGGAGCGUAGACGGAAUAGCAAGUCUGAAGUGAAAUCAUAGGGCUCAACCCUGUAAUUGCUUUGGAAACUGUUGAUCUUGAGUACCGGAGGGGCAGGCGGAAUUCCUGGUGUAGCGGUGAAAUGCGUAGAUAUCAGGAAGAACACCGGUGGCGAAGGCGGCCUGCUGGACGGCAACUGACGUUGAGGCUCGAAAGCGUGGGGAGCAAACAGGAUUAGAUACCCUGGUAGU
rnacentral:rRNA from 1 species